AUGCCUUCAAAUUCAGCAAAAUAAGCAGAUUCAUUUUAAGGAUGAGGACAAGUUAGACAGGUUUGUAAGCUAAAAGAGAACAGCCACGACAGAGGAUACAGUGAAGAUUCAAAAAACGGUGGUGAAUAUUGAAAAGGCGUUGGAGGACACAUAAUAGAAUGCAAAGUCCACAAGGAGAGGGGCUUUGUGUCUUGUUUCACACUGUGUCCCCAGGCUUAGAAUAUUCUGGCAUCAGAAGGCACUCAGUAAACAUAGAGAGGAAGAAAGGAAGAAGAUGAAAUCAGGAGUACAGAUUAAAGUGUUAUCUUUGGAAGACAGGCAAGACAUCCUUUGGGACAGAAGGGAAGGAGAGAAAGCUGGGGAACAUGCAGAUAAUACAAGAGACUGAAUCCAGACAACUUUGGACAUUCCUUCAUUUGAAGAAUUUUUACUGAACAAUUACAGACCAUUGAUUGAUACAGUGAAGAUCAGAAUGGCAUAGUUUUCCUGUCUUCAUGGAGAUGAAUGAAUGAACUGUAUUUUUUAUUAGCCUAAGCAUGAAUUCUUCCCAAAUUUCCUCCAUGAACCAUAGGAUCCUACCUCUUAACCAUUUUAUGAAAAUUCUAUGGUGAAUUGAGGUCCUCAAGUUGUCUGACAAUAUCUGAUUUUGCCACGGUCAUGUGGGAAAAGUAGGCAUGUGAGCAAGUCAUAGUUUUACUUGUUUGGAAGAUUCUUCUAAUUAUGUCAAGAUGAAAGGUUUUAUACUGUGUAGAAGGCAGUGUGAGAGAAGUGGACAGUAGAACUCCUAUUUGGUGGGCCAGUGGCUAUAUUUUAAAAUAUGAAGGAUACAUAUUUGACUGUUUAAGUACAAUGAUCUGCCAUGGAUCUAUACUUUUGGGCUGCUGUCUUUUAGGCUAAAGCAAUUAAAGGCAAUGUAAUGAACAUGGUUAUCUGUGGAUGCCCCUUUGAUUGCCAUUGUAUUAUGCUUUACACUGUGAUGGCUCUCUCUUUGAGGAGAGACGCUGUUCCUCCAGGGAGAUAAAAUAUAAAAUAUGAAUCUUACCCUUAAGCAUACACUUCUCCCCACUCUCAAUAUACAGUGGCUCUGGAAUUCAUGCUUCACUUGGGAGUUGAAAGUUUGCGUUUAUAAUUUUAUAUUCUUAUUACAGGCCAGGCUAUUGAGAUUAGAAAGUCUUUAUUUUUCAGUUGGAGUGUGAUGAGCCAUAUUCCCUAUUGUAAACAGCCAUAUUAACCAAGAUAAUUUAAUUUGGAAUGAUUGCUUUUUGCCUUUGAGCUGUAGAUCAAAAGGUUCCAUUAUAUGUACAAAUAAAGUAAAAAAAAAUUUUUUCUGUGAAUGUUACAAAAUUUUUUUAUUGUGGUAAAAAACACGUAAGAUCUUUCCUCUUAAAUUUUGGGUGUAUGGUACAGCAUUGUUAACUAUAAGCAUAAUGUUGUAGAGCAGAUCUGUGAAAAUUUUGUCUCUUGUAUGAUUAAAACUUUAUGCUCACGGAACAGC
rnacentral:lncRNA from 1 species